rnacentral:rRNA from 1 species
CAGCCGCCACGGUAAUGCGAAGGGUGCAAGCGUUAAUCGGAAUUACUGGGCGUAAAGCGUGCGUAGGCGGUUUGUUAAGUCUGUUGUGAAAUCCCCGGGCUCAACCUGGGAAUGGCAAUGGAUACUGGCAAGCUAGAGUGUGUCAGAGGAUGGUGGAAUUCCCGGUGUAGCGGUGAAAUGCGUAGAGAUCGGGAGGAACAUCAGUGGCGAAGGCGGCCAUCUGGGACAACACUGACGCUGAGGCACGAAAGCGUGGGGAGCAAACAGGAUUAGAUACCCCAGUAGUCCCUGUCUCUUAUAC